rnacentral:rRNA from 1 species
GACGAACGCUGGCGGCGUGCCUAAUACAUGCAAGUUGAGCGCUGAAGGUUGGUACUUGUACCAACUGGAUGAGCAGCGAACGGGUGAGUAACGCGUGGGGAAUCUGCCUUUGAGCGGGGGACAACAUUUGGAAACGAAUGCUAAUACCGCAUAACAACUUUAAACACAAGUUUUAAGUUUGAAAGAUGCAAUUGCAUCACUCAAAGAUGAUCCCGCGUUGUAUUAGCUAGUUGGUGAGGUAAAGGCUCACCAAGGCGAUGAUACAUAGCCGACCUGAGAGGGUGAUCGGCCACAUUGGGACUGAGACACGGCCCAAACUCCUACGGGAGGCAGCAGUAGGGAAUCUUCGGCAAUGGACGAAAGUCUGACCGAGCAACGCCGCGUGAGUGAAGAAGGUUGUCGGAUCGUAAAACUCGGUUGGUAGAGAAGAACGUUGGUGAGAGUGGAAAGCUCAUCAAGUGACGGUAACUACCCAGAAAGGGACGGCUAACUACGUG